UUAUAGUAUCAUAAAUAACACUAUACACUUUUCUAUGCACAUUAUAAUUUAUACACUACAGUAUCUUUCACUAAAAAUGUAUUCCAAUACAUUUUUUAAAAUAUGAAACCUCGCAUGUAUGUGCGGGUCAGAAUCAUAUCUAUACUAUUAACAAAAAUUCUUUCUAAUGCCUUUUUCACACUACCCCUUUUCAAUUCUACCAUUUUCUAUUUACCAUUUUUAUUUAUACCCUAUUUAAAUUUUUAAUGACCAUUUUACCCCUAUUUGUAAAUUGAUUUAGGUUAACAAAAUGAAAUAUUAAUAUUUUUUGCCUAAAUUAUUCCAAAAUAAAAUUUCCCGCCAAAAUUUUCGAAAAA
rnacentral:sRNA from 1 species